UACGAAGGGGGCUAGCGUUGCUCGGAAUCACUGGGCGUAAAGGGUGCGUAGGCGGAAUGUUAAGUCAGGGGUGAAAUCCCGGGGCUCAACCCCGGAACUGCCUUUGAUACUGGCAUUCUCGAGUCCGGAAGAGGUGAGUGGAAUUCCGAGUGUAGAGGUGAAAUUCGUAGAUAUUCGGAGGAACACCAGUGGCGAAGGCGGCUCACUGGUCCGGUACUGACGCUGAGGUGCGAAAGCGUGGGGAGCAAACAGG
rnacentral:rRNA from 1 species